rnacentral:lncRNA from 1 species
GGGCAUUGUGACAUAUCUCUGGGCCCAUCAACUGCUUCAUUUGACUCUCCUCUCCUACCCAUGCUUUGUCAAUAGGAGAGAUUGUGACAUAUCUCUGGAACCAGAACCUUAGUGAUGUGACGCUUCUCUCCUGCUGAAGCCAUGCCCACACAAGGGAAAGUGACUUAUCACUGGGCCCAGCACACAGGUCUUUUCCCACAGGGAGCAUUGUGAAACAUCACUGGGCUCAGCCACCAGGUUAUGUGACUCUUCUGCCUGUGCCCUGCUUCCAGAAAAUAUUGUGACAUUCCUCAUACAGCAUCCAGGUGAUGUGACUCUUCUGCUCAUUUUCUACUUACAGGAGACAUGCCCAAAAAAGGGAUUGUGGCAUAUCUCUGAGCCCAGCACCCAAAUGUUGUGACUCUCCUGCCUGAGCUGUGCCUAGAGAAAAUAUUAUAAUAUGUCACCGGACCCUGCAUGCAAGUGAUCCAAUUCUCCAGUCUGGGCCUUGCCCAUAGAGGAGAUUGAGACAUAUUCCAGGUGAAGAAUUCAGGUGGAUGGUGACUCUAAGACCAGGAUUCAACACACCUAGAAGGCUUUGACUCUGAUACCAGUCACAGAAGGCUCUGUGACUCUUCUAUUUUCUCUAGGUCAUGCAAAUGGAGGCGGAUUUUGACAUAUCAUAAAGCCAACAUAAUACACAGUCUGCAGGUGGAAUUGGGACUCUCAUGCAUGGAUCCAGUUCAUCAUUGAUACUGUGACUCAUGUACUUGGAUGCAACUCACAGGAGGUGUUGACGCUUUUUACCUGAAGCUGGGACAUGUGUGGAAUUGUGAAUCCUAGCCCUAGAUCUUCCCACAGGUCAUGCAAAUGGAGGGGGAUUGUUACAUAUCAUAGGGCCAACACAAAAAUAAUGUAAAACUCCUGCCUGAGCCAUGCCCAUAGAAGGCAUUGUGACAUAUCACCCGUCACAGCACUCAGGUGGGAUUUUGACAUAUAACUGCACCCAGCACACAGGUGAAGUAUCUCGUAUGCUCAUCCUGCCAAAAGUUAUGAGUGUCACCCUCACACAUGGACAGAGACCUCUGGUUAGGUCUUGAAUCUUGUACAUGGACACAGUCCGCAGUUGGAAUGUCAUAUGUAGAUCCAGCCACAGGUGUGAUGUUGACCUAUUUAUAAAGUUAGCUCACAGGCACAUUGAUAACUCUCAUACCUGGAUCCAGCCAAUAAAAGAUAUGUUGACUAUUAU